rnacentral:rRNA from 1 species
CCAAUAGCGUAUAUUAAAGUUGUUGCAGUUAAAAAGCUCGUAGUUGAAUUUCGGGAUCAGUACGCUGGUCAUGCCUUUGGUAUGCACUGGUGUCACUGGUUUCUCCCUUCUGAAGAACCGUGAUGUCAUUAAUUUGGUGUCGCGGGGAAUCAGGACUGUUACUUUGAAAAAAUUAGAGUGUUUAAAGCAGGCUCACGCUUGAAUACAUUAGCAUGGAAUAAUGAAAUAGGACGUUUGACCGUAUUUUGUUGGUUUCUAGGAUCGACGUAAUGAUUAAUAGAGAUAGUGGGGGGCAUUAGUAUUCAAUUGUCAGAGGUGAAAUUCUUGGAUUUACUGAAGACUAACUACUGCGAAAGCAUUUGCCAAGGAUGUUUUCAUUAAUCAAGAACGAAAGUUAGGGGAUCGAAGACGAUCAGAUACCGUCGUAGUCUUAACCAUAAACUAUGCCGACUAGGGAUCGGAUGAUGUUAAUUUUAUAAUGACUCAUUCGGCGCCUUACG